UAUGUUGUCAACGAUAAAAACGGUUAUGACCACAGACUAUAAAUGGACGGAUAAAAAAUCCAUAAGUUACAAUGAAUAGCGUUGGUUUGUAUAGUUAAUAAGUUUCUAUACAUAUAUAUAUAUAUACUUUACUCUCCCUUUUUUUUAUUUUGUAUGAGGUCCCUUCGAAACAUAAUAAUGUUGGUUAUCAGUUGUUUUAAAACUGAGUUUUUGUAUAUUUUUAUAUAUAAUCAGUCGUAGUAUUUGUGUUCCAAAUGUGGAAUUCCAGCAGGAAUUUUUUGGGUAGCAAUACAAACUGUCCACUGUCUGACUAAGGAUAACAUGUAGCAUUUAAUAGUUGAUUACAUUCCACAUACAUAUGUUUCUGAUAAAUACAUGUAGUAUAUCUUGUUUAUAUUAUUGGUAAUUUUCCUGACCUACGCCUCAUUUUUUCGUACGUUCCACAACUUUUGUGCAUGUAUCCUCUUGAAAUUAGAAUACUGCUACAUGACUGUAUAAAUACAGGUAGUUUUGUACUUCAUUUUUGUAACAAAGAAUAGAAAUGAACAGUUAGACUUGAUGUUCAAUCUUAUCAAUUGUAAGUUUAAAAGGCUAGCUUCAAUCUUUUGUUGAAGUUUGAUGAACAGAAUCAUUUUCAAAAAUUAUAAAAUCCAUGUCUAAAUGCUUUUGAAACUACUUUUUGAUUCUUUUUUUCUACAUUGUAAAUUAUGUUCUAUACAGUGAGUGCAAUAAAAAAGACUAAGAGAAACGUACACCUUUUUUAUUUUAAAUUUAUGAUCUCCACAAUAAAAACAUUAUGGAUUCAAUGCUUGAGUAACUUAUCCAAAUCUGAAUCUGAAUAUUUCGUUGAUUAUAGUUUAUGAUUAGAAUAUUUAUAACUAUAAGAAUUCUUAAUACAUAUAGUAUAUAUAACAAAGUCAAGCAUGGAUAAUAUUUACGAUUUAGAAAAAUAUGCAUUUGCUCAAGGGGGAAUACAUAAAAGGGUUGUAAUUAGAUGAUGAAUAUGUACAGAUUGUUCAUUUAUGUUUAUAUUUUUAUAUAAUUUUUUUAACGUUAUAUAUUCACAAUCCUAUUUACUAAAUAUUUCUUUUCAGUAUACAAAACAAUUGAAAGUGAAUAAAAUUUUGAUAAUAU
rnacentral:misc_RNA from 1 species